AGCAGCCGCGGUAAUUCCAGCUCCAAUAGCGUAUAUUAAAGUUGUUGCAGUUAAAAAGCUCGUAGUUGAAUUUCGGGAUCAAUGGGUCGGUCGUGCCAAUGGUAUGUACUGGCCUCAUUGGUUCUCACCUUCUAAGGAACCAUGAUGUCAUUUAUUUGAUGUUGUGGGAAAUUAGGACUGUUACCUUGAAAAAAUUAGAGUGUUUAAAGCAGGCUAACGCUUGAAUACAUUAGCAUGGAAUAAUGAAAUAGGACAUCCGAUUCUAUUUUGUUGGUUUU
rnacentral:rRNA from 1 species